rnacentral:tRNA from 1 species
UGUAGCUCAGUGGUAGAGCACUUGCCUCGUAUGCAUGCAGCCCUGGGUUCCAACCCCAGGAUUACAA